GAUGAAGAACGCAGUGAAAUGCGAUACGCAGUGUGAAUUGCAGAAUUCAGUGAAUCAUCGAAUCUUUGAACGCACAUUGCACCUCUCGGUAUUCCGGGAGGUAUGCCUGUUCGAGCGUCAUUUGUACCCUCAAGCUCUGCUUGGUGUUGGGUGUUUGUUCCGCCUCUGUGUGUGAACUCGCCUCAAAACAAUUGGCAGCCGGCGUACUUGUUUCGGAGCGCAGCACAUUUUGCGAUCCAGAUCAACGUACAGCGGCAUCCAAGAAGCCUUAUUUAACGCUCUUGACCUCGGAUCAGGUAGGGAUACCCGCUGAACUUAAGCAUAUCAAUAAGCGGAGGA
rnacentral:misc_RNA from 1 species